CGGUAGAGAUCUUUCGGGAUCUUGAGAGCGGCGUACGGGUGCGGAACACGUGUGCAACCUGCCUUUAUCUGGGGGAUAGCCUUUCGAAAGGAAGAUUAAUACCCCAUAAUAUACUGAAUGGCAUCAUUCGGUAUUGAAAACUCCGGUGGAUAGAGAUGGGCACGCGCAAGAUUAGAUAGUUGGUGAGGUAACGGCUCACCAAGUCUACGAUCUUUAGGGGGCCUGAGAGGGUGAUCCCCCACACUGGUACUGAGACACGGACCAGACUCCUACGGGAGGCAGCAGUGAGGAAUAUUGGACAAUGGGUGAGAGCCUGAUCCAGCCAUCCCGCGUGAAGGACGACGGCCCUAUGGGUUGUAAACUUCUUUUGUAUAGGGAUAAACCUACCCUCGUGAGGGUAGCUGAAGGUACUAUACGAAUAAGCACCGGCUAACUCCGUGCCAGCAGCCGCGGUAAUACGGAGGGUGCAAGCGUUAUCCGGAUUUAUUGGGUUUAAAGGGUCCGUAGGCGGAUCUGUAAGUCAGUGGUGAAAUCUCACAGCUUAACUGUGAAACUGCCAUUGAUACUGCAGGUCUUGAGUGUUGUUGAAGUAGCUGGAAUAAGUAGUGUAGCGGUGAAAUGCAUAGAUAUUACUUAGAACACCAAUUGCGAAGGCAGGUUACUAAGCAACAACUGACGCUGAUGGACGAAAGCGUGGGGAGCGAACAGGAUUAGAUACCCUGGUAGUCCACGCCGUAAACGAUGCUAACUCGUUUUUGGAGCGCAAGCUUCAGAGACUAAGCGAAAGUGAUAAGUUAGCCACCUGGGGAGUACGAACGCAAGUUUGAAACUCAAAGGAAUUGACGGGGGCCCGCACAAGCGGUGGAUUAUGUGGUUUAAUUCGAUGAUACGCGAGGAACCUUACCAAGGCUUAAAUGGGAAAUGACAGGUUUAGAAAUAGACUUUUCUUCGGACAUUUUUCAAGGUGCUGCAUGGUUGUCGUCAGCUCGUGCCGUGAGGUGUUAGGUUAAGUCCUGCAACGAGCGCAACCCCUGUCACUAGUUGCCAUCAUUAAGUUGGGGACUCUAGUGAGACUGCCUACGCAAGUAGAGAGGAAGGUGGGGAUGACGUCAAAUCAUCACGGCCCUUACGCCUUGGGCCACACACGUAAUACAAUGGCCGGUACAGAGGGCAGCUACACUGCGAAGUGAUGCAAAUCUCGAAAGCCGGUCUCAGUUCGGAUUGGAGUCUGCAACUCGACUCUAUGAAGCUGGAAUCGCUAGUAAUCGCGCAUCAGCCAUGGCGCGGUGAAUACGUUCCCGGGCCUUGUACACACCGCCCGUCAAGCCAUGGAAGUCUGGGGUACCUGAAGUCGGUGACCGUAACAGGAGC
rnacentral:rRNA from 1 species